rnacentral:rRNA from 1 species
GACGAACGCUGGCGGCGUGCUUAACACAUGCAAGUCGAACGGAAAGGCCCUGCUUUUGUGGGGUGCUCGAGUGGCGAACGGGUGAGUAACACGUGAGUAACCUGCCCUUGACUUUGGGAUAACUUCAGGAAACUGGGGCUAAUACCGGAUAGGAGCUCCUGCUGCACGGGGGGGGUUGGAAAGUUUCGGCGGUUGGGGAUGGACUCGCGGCUUAUCAGCUUGUUGGUGGGGUAGUGGCUUACCAAGGCUUUGACGGGUAGCCGGCCUGGGAGGGGGACCGGCCACAUUGGGCCUGAGGUACGGCCCAGACUCCUACGGGCGGCAGCAGUGGGGAGUAUUGCGCAGUGGGCGGAAGCCUGAUGCAGCGACGCCGCGUGCGGGAUGACGGCCUUCGGGUUGUAAACCGCUUUCGCCUGUGACGAAGCGUGAGUGACGGUAAUGGGUAAGGAAGCACCGGCUAACUACGUG